UGGGGAAUAUUGGGCAAUGGGGGCAACCCUGACCCAGCAACGCCGCGUGAAGGAAGAAGGCUUUCGGGUUGUAAACUUCUUUUACCAGGGACGAAGACGUGACGGUACCUGGAGAAAAGCUCCGGCUAACUACGUGCCAGCAGCCGCGGUAAUACGUAGGGAGCAAGCGUUGUCCGGAUUUACUGGGUGUAAAGGGCGUGUAGGCGGAGAUGCAAGUCAGAUGUGAAAUCUGGGGCUCAACCCCAACAUGCAUUUGAAACUGUAUCCCUUGAGUAUCGGAGAGGCAGGCGGAAUUCCUAGUGUAGCGGUGAAAUGCGUAGAUAUUAGGAGGAACACCAGUGGCGAAGGCGGCCUGCUGGACGACAACUGACGCUGAGGCGCGAAAGCGUGGGGAGCAAACAGGAUUAGAUACC
rnacentral:rRNA from 1 species